rfam:Oryza meridionalis cultivar OR44 (W2112) chromosome 2, whole genome shotgun sequence.
UUUAAGCACAGUUAAGAGUUUCCAAUGUUUAACUUUGAUCGUCUGUGUUAUUUGAUUUUUUUAUAAUUAAUAUUUUACUAUUAUUAGAUGAUAAAACAUGAAUAGUAAUCUAUGCGUGACUUAUGUUUUUAAAUUUUAAAACAAAAUCAAAUAAGACAGACGAUUAAAGUUAGACACGGAAACUCAUGUCUGUAAUUAAA